rnacentral:rRNA from 1 species
CCUACGGGUGGCAGCAGUGGGGAAUUUUGGGCAAUGGACGAAAGUCUGACGCAGCAACGCCGCGUGAAUGAGACGCCCUUCGGGGUGUAAAGUUUUGUCAGUGGGGACGAAAAAUGAUGGUACCCACAGAGGAAGCACCGGCUACCUCCGUGCCGGCAGCCGCGGUAAUACGGAGUGUGCAAGCGUUGUCCGGAAUCAUUGGGCGUAAAGAGUUCGUAGGCGGCAUGGAAAGUCAGUUGUUAAAGGCGAAGGCUCAACCUGUGUAUGGCACUUGAUACGUGCAAGCUGGAAUGCGGUAGAGGUAAAGGGAAUUCCUGGUGUAGCGGUGAAAUGCUUAGAGAUCAGGAGGAACACCGGUGGCGUAAGCGCUUUACUGGGCCGUAAUUGACGCUGAGGAACGAAAGCCAGGGUAGCAAAUGGGAUUAGAUACCCGUGUAGUC